CGCGAUGGGGACCCCAUCCCACCACGCAGGACAGACAGGAGGACACCAGCUCGAUGGGAUCCACGUCACGUGCAAUCACUACCAGCUGAACCUUCUAGCGACAGUUGGAUCCCAGCCUGGAGGACGGCAGCCUCUGAGUGGAGCAAUGUCUUUGCCCACAACUUUCUUCUCAGCCCAGGCCAACGACCUCUGCUUCUUCCUCGCCUCGUCUGCAGUCGGGCCCGGCUGAGGCAGCUGAGUGGCCGUUGGCGGUGCACGGCCCGGGUGGACUCACGGGAGACGCUUGUGGACGCGUCUGGAGACCAGCCCUCUGGCGCCGCAGCUCCCGUCGUGAGGCCAGUUGGCGAGGCAGGCAAGGCCCUCUUGGGCCGCAGUCCUGUCCCAGGCCAAGACUCUCGGGCCUUUUCUCCAACAGGGGACUGGCCGCCUUCUCGGCCUCCUGCUUGUUCAUGGCGUCAGGGCCGGGCCGCCUCCUGUCCCUCGGCCUUCCCUCCUCUCGGCGUCUGCACGGCUGGGGCUGGGGAGACGGCGGCUCCAUCCAGGCCGAUCCGCUCAGUUUCCCUAAACACAGAGCGAGUGUUGGCCCCUCCGACCUCCCUUACUUGCAAGGUCUCUCCUCGGCGCCGCAGCCCUCCCACCCCAUCCCCAUCCCCAGGGUGUCUUGGGCCCCCCUUCGGGGAAGGCUCCCGAGCGACCUCCGCCUGGGGUGGCUCCCCCUUCACCCCGCCGCCCCCCCUUCGGCCUCAGCACAUGACCCGGAGGGGAUUUCCUUUGGGGCCCGAACUGGGAAUCGUCCUCUUGCCCCACGUCAGCUGGCGGCUGGGGGAGUCUUCAGGAGUUUCAUUUCCCUCCUGGGGAACGAGCUCAUUUCCCUCCCUAGGUUUUAGGAACCCAAAGUCAAAGACCGAAAGACGAGAGGCCACGGCCCGCUGGGCCCGCUCAGGCCUCGGCCGCCCCUGGACAAGCUCAGGGGUCAAUGCAAGGACACAGGGCAGGGAGGGGCCGGCCCGUGCGCUCCUCGGGGGGCCGGCUCACCCCCCUCCCGGGACCAGGAAGCCGCGGCCUCCCUCAGCUGCUACUCCGGUGUCCGGCUCAGUGUGGACGCCGCCCCUUCCUUUCUGGAAACACUGA
rnacentral:lncRNA from 1 species